rnacentral:rRNA from 1 species
CAGUCGCCGCGGGAAUACGUAGGGUGCGAGCGUUAAUCGGAAUUACUGGGCGUAAAGCGUGCGCAGGCGGUUUGUUAAGACAGAUGUGAAAUCCCCGGGCUUAACCUGGGAACUGCAUUUGUGACUGGCCGGCUAGAGUAUGGCAGAGGGAGGUGGAAUUCCACGUGUAGCAGUGAAAUGCGUAGAUAUGUGGAGGAACACCGAUGGCGAAGGCAGCCUCCUGGGCCAAUACUGACGCUCAUGCACGAAAGCGUGGGGAGCAAACAGGAUUAGAUACCCCGGUAGUCCCUGUCUCUUAUAU